GGGCGGAGUUGGGGAGCACAGGGCGGGGGUGUGUGGCCGUCACUGGAGAAGCUUGCGUGGGGGCCCCGAGGAAAAGGACCAGGGGAGGGGGUUGCCCUUUGGGCCCUGGGCUUUCCCGGGGGUCCUGCCCGACUGAGGUCAGACCUGAGGGCGCCCCUCUAGGGACACGGUGAAAGGAGGGUGCUGACUGCGCCUCUUGGGAGGGUCAGAGGGAGCCGGGCUGCUGACGGAUGCGGCUGUCAGACCAGCGGCGUUUCAAGGCAGGGUUCCAGGAGAGGGGAGAAAUCGAGAGAGAUUUGCCAAUUUAAUGGAAAGUCAAUCAAUCUGGCCUCCUGGCCCAGUGCAGGCCCCUGGUGGGCACGGCAGACCUCCCGCCACGGGCCACCUUCUCCUUCUGGGGAAGGAGGCCCCUUGGUCACACCUGGGUCUGGGGUCAGCCGGAAGCCUCCUGCUGCCCCCAAGCCCGGGGCCCUGUGGCCUCCGUGCAGUGACAGAGCCCACUGGGGGAGGAGAGCCAGGCGCUCCACCUGCCUCCAAAGGAGCCAGCUCCCAGGAGCAGGCCCACCCCAUCCUCCUGGGCCCAGCACGCCCACCCCAGGGCUCAGCAAUUAGCAAAGCACCUGGGCUGGUGGGGCCUCCUCAUCGGCACAGCACAAGCCCGUCUCAGCAGCUGGCAACACCCUCCGUGUGACACUGACCCGUACAGCCACACACACUGAGCCUUGGCCCACCACAGCCUGCCUUCUGCCCGCGCGGCCAGUUGUGUGGACACCGAUGUCACCCACACUCCCAGCCAACCUCCCCCAUCCCGUCUGCCCCCUCUUCACCAUACUGCCACCUCACUCAGUCCCCAGGGAGCCCUGGGUCUUGUUGGGGGACCCCUGGGUCAGCCCAGAUGGACAGCGCAGGCCUCCAAGGGGCUCUGGGUGGGAGCCGUGGACUGGCCGAGGCUGGAUGCCUGGGGGGCGGGGCGGCAGUUCCUGGGGAUGGGGGCCAAGUUCAAGGACUGGUGCUCCAGCAGAGGAGGGAAGGCACAGGACAAAGCACAUCACUGCCGGCACAGCCAGCCCAGGUGGGGGGACCGUGGGGUUCCCAGUGCUCACUGCAGAAGCACUGCUGUCCAGCCCAGGGACACAGGCCUCCUGCCAGGCUGCACAGAGAUGGACUUGGGACACAGUGGGCAAAGGGUCUGCAGACCAGUCUUCAAAGGAGCCGUGGGAGGGCUGAGGCCAGCAUGGGUGCUACAGGCGAGGCAGCAGUGGGAAGUGCUGCGCUGUGCUCAGGUCCCAAACCUGCCCUCUGGACAGCAGUUUGCAUGCUUGUUGUCAUGAUGUCUCAACCUGGAGAUUCUCUGUAUGGCUUGGGUGUUUGCUGACCUGGUUCGGGUGGGUCUCCUGGUGAAGGCAGGACCCCACCAGCCUGCUCAGACUCCAGAGGAAGAGGACCCCCAGGCAGGCCUGCCAGGACGUUCUUGUGGGCACAAAGUUCCGAGUCUGAUGGGUGGCUUCCCCACACUCAAUGCUUCUUCCAUGGGUGAUGUUUCCAAUGGCGAAUGAGAUAUGAGCUGUAGGCAAAGGUCUUUCCACACUCCUUACAUCCGUACGGCUUCUCUCCAGUGUGGGUUUUCUGGUUUCAGGAGAUUGGAACUGCAGUUAAAGGCUUUGCUGCACUCACUACAUUUAAAGGGCUUUUCUCUGGGGUGAAUCCUCUGGUGCUUGGUCACGUCAGAGCUGUGCCUGAAUGUCUUCCUGUUCUGGGCACACUGGAAGGGCUUCUCUCCAAUGUGGACUCUCUGGUGACGAACAGGAUCUGCUUAAAGAUGCGCCCACAUUCGCUGCAUUCGUAGGGCUUCCUCCUCUGGAAGGGAGUGAACAUGGGAACUCCUUCAAAGUCAUCUUUAAACGAAGCAUCUAAGGCCUCAAACAUGUGCUUCUCAUUCUCAGGACUGAGGCGGGCUUCCUUCCUGUGCUUUUGGGCCAAAGUGGGUUUGGCUGUUCUUUCCCAGAUGCCUUCUCUUCUUUGGCAGUGUCCUUCUGCACGUGAACUUCUGCCUCUGGGGUCUGGGUCUUAUUUUUCUUGCCUGUGGGCUUCUUCAUCCUUGUUUUCAGGGUAGAGGAAGGCCCCCUGGAAGCCGGCAAGGAUCAAGGAGAAUGGCCAAGGGCAAAAUCCUCCAGCCUACAAAUUCCCUUGUAAAUUCACUUCUUCAGAAAGGACUUUAUUUUUCCAAGCUUGGAACUGAAGUUCUGGAACAGAAUAGCGCCAGCAACCCUUCUGGGGCUGGAGAGAAACAAGACCACGAACUGGUAGAUUAAGUGAAUGUCUGGGAGGAACUGAGUUACAAAGUGACAGAUGGGCAGGGAAAGGGGCAGCAGAGGCAUGCAGACACGGCCCCCUUCCUUUCUUGCUGGUGUGUGCCACCCGGACAUCUCAUAAGUUUCAGGCUGGACAUGACCAAAGAACUGAUUUCCCAGAACACCCCCACCCCAAUCUUACUCUUCCCAGUUUUCCUCAUCUGGGUAAAUGUCAUCAUUUACUCAGUUGCUCACCAGGAAUUUUUUUUUUUUUUAAUGUAUUUCUUUGGCUCUGCCAGGUCUUAGUUGUGGCAUGCAGGAUCUAGUUCCCUAAGCAGGGAUUGAACCCGGGCCCCCUGCAUUGGGAGGGUGGCAUCGUAGCCACCGGACCACCAGGGAAGUCCCUAACCAAAGAAUUCUUAUUCUUCUGCCAGGGGCGGCAUCUCCACACCUGGAUCCUCAUGUGCACCAUGGACCAAUAACUGCUGUGUGGCCCCCAAUUGUGGAGUUUCCCUGCCCUUUAUUUGCUCCUUCUCCACUUCUUGCAUUUGGGACCAGACUAUGUGCUUCUAGAGCUACAGGCCAUGAGAGCCACGUGCGGCCCUGACAGAAGGUAUCGCCCAUUAGUUCAGUUCAGUCGCUCAGUUGUGUCUGACUGUAGCUCGAUGAACCGCAGCACACCAGGCCUCCCUGUCCAUCACCAACUCCCGGAGUCUACCCAAACCCAUGUCCAUUGAGUCGGUGAUGCCAUCCAACCAUCUCAUCCUCUGUUGUCCCUUUCUCUUCCUUCCCUCAAUCUUUCCCAGCAUCAGGGUCUUUUCAAAUGAGUCAGCUCUUUGCAUGAGGUGGCCAAAGUAUUGGAGUUUCAGUCCUUCCAAUGAACACCUAGGACUGAUCUCCUUUAGGAUGGACUGGUUGGAUCUCCUUGCAGUCCAAGGGACUCUCCAGAGUCUUCUCCAACACCACAGUUCAAAAGCAGCAAUUCUUCGGCACUCAGCUUUCUUUAUAGUCCAACUCUCACAUCCAUACAUGACCACUGGAAAAACCAUAGUCUUNNNNNNNNNNNNNNNNNNNNNNNNNNNNNNNNNNNNNNNNNNNNNNNNNNNNNNNNNNNNNNNNNNNNNNUGAACUUAGUUUUCUGAAUGUUGAGCUUUAAGCCAACUUUUUCACUCUCCUCUUUCACUUUCAUCAAGAGGCUUUUUAAUUCCUCUUCACUUUCUGCCAUAAGGGUGGUGUCAUCUGCAUAUCUGAGGUUGAUAUUUCUCCUGGCAAUCUUGAUUCCAGCUUGUGCUUCCUCUAACUGCCCAUCACCUGGAUGAGCCUUGCUCCCACCCUCACCCUGGCCCUCCUGAGUCCUCUGCUGGGUAGCAUCCUCCACCCAGCAGCCAGUGAACUCCAUCACAUCCCUGUCAAAUCCCCCGUGGUUCCCCUCACACUGCUGCCCUGCCCCUUCCCAAGCACCUUGAGAUUCACCACACAUUCCCAGCCCUUCCUGCCUCAGCACCUGACUGCCCACAAACAGGUCCUGAGAACUAGUGCUGGCCCCUCACUCACUCAGAGCUCUGCUCUGAGGGUUCUUCUCAGAGAAGCCUCCCUGACCUCAUGCCCUGUUUCCUCACCAGGCUUUCAUUCUUCCUGUGGCCUUAACUGGAGCUGACUGUCCACUGAGGGCCAAACCCAGGCUCUUGAGUGCAUUAUCUAAAAGAUUUGACAGUCUCUGUCCCUAAUCCCAUCUAAACCCUAACCCUAACCCUAACAUUCUAAUAUCACCACAAAAUUCAAACAGGAAUCAGUCAGUCCCAGUGACAGGUCAGGCCCAGGUACCUGUAGAAGAAUUACCAGCAUGGCUCAUGUUUCAUUGGUUAAGAAGCUUCACCUAUUCCUUUUCUGUAUUAUUUCUGAGCUUCCUUAACCUCUCUUCCCUCAGUGCUAACAAAUGGACUUCUAGGAUAAAGCUUGACAAACUUCAGGCUCUUUAGCUGCAGGCAAAAGAAAUCUUCACAAGAUAGGAGAAAGCACUUUCCCAAGAAAGCAGAUCCUGUUCUGAGUCCUCGAGUCACCCUUGCAGGACCUCCCAUGGCCUGUGCGGUCACCUGAUCUCCCAGGAGGUCCAUAUUCUACCAGGCUGUCUCACCCCAAAAUGUGGUGCUCUAGAUGGUAACAUUUCAAGUGAAGUAUGUUUUGAGGGAUAGAUCCUUUGCGUUUCCUUUAAGUCAAAGCGGAUACUAAGUCUUCACCCACUCUCCCAUGCACAGAGGCAACACAUAAAAUGACUGGACAGUUUUCCCAUCUUGAUGAAAAUAUUUACAUACACUUGACCCAGAUUCAGGCCAGUGUUACUCUCGGAAGGCUCUCUUGGAGGUAGCUUCUGGGAGGAGGCUGUUCUUAGCAUUAGGUGGGAGCCAGAACUGAGGAUGGCAGAAGGUCAUCUAGGCUGAGGGAAGCAUACAAAUAUGGGGGCAUCUCUGCUGGGGAGGCAGGUAGAACUAGGGUGGAGGAUCAGAGCCCCAGUCAGCCAGGCUGCAGUUUGAGCUGAGGUCUAGUUUUAGUAGGAAACAGGUGAAAACCAAGACCAACAGCAAAGUGCCAUCAACCCUCUAGCCCACAGCUCUCCAGGGCAGAUGUAAACUCAUCUUGGCUCUAUGCGGACCCACUCGAUGGAGAGGAGUGGUCCUUGGACCCACUGAGCCUGACGUCUGCUAGCUGGGCUCCAAGGACCCUGUGGCUUGUCACUGAUGUGCAGUCUCCUGAUGAGCUGAGGGCAAGGAUCCUUCUUUUUCAUCCCGGAAUCCCUAGGUACUUGGCUGGAGACUGCACAUAAUGCUGCUCCCCAAACAUCAUCAUCAUCAUAUCUGCCUAACUCAAGCAGGUGCUGAAUGGCAGGACAUAAUGCUGCUCCCCAAACAUCAUCAUCAUGUCUGCCUAACUCAAGCAGGUGCUGAAUGGCAGAGACUGGAUAUAUUCACUUCUCUAAGCCCUGUGCAUACCCAGCAAUAAAAUAAUUGUUAGAAGUGGAACCGAUCUGAGGUCACUGUUUUGGUCUUCUCAUUUCACAGAUCUGUAGGCCUGGUAACUGCUACAGCCACGCAGGAAACGCAAUCUACGUGCCAGAGCAGACCACAGCCCUGAGCUAAAGCUACGUGCUCUGUCACUUCAGGGUAGCUCCUUCACUCUCUGGGCCAGGCCGCUUGUAACAUGAAACUUUGGGUAUCUAGCUGCAGCAGGACUCCCUGGUAACCUCACUCGCCCUCAGAAGCCGGGGUCUCAGUGAGAGAUGGGAUUAUUAGUGGGUUUGAGAUCCAAGGGCAAACAGGCACCCAAGCAGUCUAUAGGUCCUGGGCCUGUCAAAGGGCCCGCAGCGGUGUCGAAGCCGAGAAGAGGGGCCCUGACAGCCUCGCCAGCCGCGGGUGCAGGGCCGAGGUCUCCUUCACCUCGAUUCGCACGGCGCUGGUCCUCGCGCACUUCGCCCUUGUCCCUGCGAAACCAGGGAGCCGAGAGAGCGGUGGCCGAUGCCCUGGGUGGGGGCUCCACACGACGCCAGAGGGACCCAGUGAGUUCCCGCAUGGAGAUCCGGGCGGGUGCGCUCCUCGCAGGGUCCCUGGACCGGAAGGGACGCGUCCUCGUCAAGGCCAGCCACACCCCAAGCUGCCAGCGAUGAGCACCGGGGUAUCUUCUCAGUCCAGCAGCCGCGUCUCUGCGCCGGCCGG
ensembl:lincRNA